UACGUAGGGUCCGAGCGUUGUCCGGAAUUACUGGGCGUAAAGGGCGCGUAGGCGGCGUGUCAAGUCAGGCGUGAAAGCCCCGGGCUCAACCUGGGAACCGCGCUUGAGACUGGCAUGCUCGAGUUCGGGAGAGGUGAGUGGAAUGCCGAGUGUAGAGGUGAAAUUCGUAGAUAUUCGGCGGAACACCAGUGGCGAAGGCGACUCACUGGCCCCGAUACUGACGCUGAGGCGCGAAAAGCGUGGGGAGCAAACAGG
rnacentral:rRNA from 1 species